GACUUAGAGCGUGAUCCAAAACCCACUGAAGUCAAUGGGAGUCUUUUCACUGACCCCAGUGGGCUUUGGAUCAGCCCCUUUGGGC
rnacentral:pre_miRNA from 1 species